GCACAAUGGGCGCAAGCCUGAUGCAGCAACGCCGUGUGAGUGAAGAAGGUUUCGGAUCGUAAAACUCUGUCCUAAGGGAAGAAACAAAUGACGGUACCUUAGGAGGAAGCCCCGGCUAACUACGUGCCAGCAGCCGCGGUAAUACGUAGGGGGCAAGCGUUAUCCGGAAUCACUGGGCGUAAAGGGUGCGUAGGCGGCUUAGCAAGCCAGGGGUGAAAGGCAUUGGCUCAACCAAUGUAAGCCUUUGGAACUGUUAAGCUUGAGUGCAGGAGAGGUAAGUGGAAUUCCUAGUGUAGAGGUGAAAUUCGUAGAUAUUAGGAGGAACACCAGUGGCGAAGGCGACUUACUGGACUGUAACUGACGCUGAUGCACGAAAGCGUGGGUAGCGAACAGGAUUAGAUACCCUGGUAG
rnacentral:rRNA from 1 species